rnacentral:rRNA from 1 species
UACGGGGGGGGCAAGCGUUGUUCGGAAUUACUGGGCGUAAAGGGCUCGUAGGCGGCCAACUAAGUCAGACGUGAAAUCCCUCGGCUUAACCGGGGAACUGCGUCUGAUACUGGAUGGCUUGAGUUCGGGAGAGGGAUGCGGAAUUCCAGGUGUAGCGGUGAAAUGCGUAGAUAUCUGGAGGAAUACCGGUGGCGAAGGCGGCAUCCUGGACCAUUACUGACGCUGAGGCGCGAAAGCUAGGGGAGCAAACGGG